rnacentral:rRNA from 1 species
GUGGAUUAGAUACCCGGGUAGUCCUAGCCGUAAACGAUGGAUACUAGGUGUUAGAGGUAUCGACCCCUCUAGUGCCGGAGCUAACGCAUUAAGUAUCCCGCCUGGGGAGUACGACCGCAAGGUUGAAACUCAAAGGAAUUGACGGGGGCCCGCACAAGCGGUGGAGCAUGUGGUUUAAUACGUCACUAACCGUAGAACCUUACCCAGGCUUGACAUCUAGGGAAUCUGGAUGAAAGUCUAGAGUGCCCUCGGGAGCCCUAAGACAGGUGUUGCACGGUCGUCGUCAACU